rnacentral:rRNA from 1 species
GACGAACGCUGGCGGCGUGCUAACCCAUGCAAGUCGAACGAAGAGCGAUGGAAGCUUGCUUCUAUCAAUCUUAGUGGCGAACGGGUGAGUAACGCGUAAUCAACCUGCCCUUCAGAGGGGGACAACAGUUGGAAACGACUGCUAAUACCGCAUACGAUCUAAACUCGGCAUCGAGGAUAGAUGAAAGGUGGCCUCUACAUGUAAGCUAUCACUGAAGGAGGGGAUUGCGUCUGAUUAGCUAGUUGGAGGGGUAACGGCCCACCAAGGCGAUGAUCAGUAGCCGGUCUGAGAGGAUGAACGGCCACAUUGGGACUGAGACACGGCCCAGACUCCUACGGGAGGCAGCAGUGGGGAAUCUUCCGCAAUGGACGAAAGUCUGACGGAGCAACGCCGCGUGAGUGAUGACGGCCUUCGGGUUGUAAAGCUCUGUUAAUCGGGACGAAAGGCCUUCUUGCGAAUAGUGAGAAGGAUUGACGGUACCGGAAUAGAAAGCCACGGCUAACUACGUG